GACGAACGCUGGCGGCGUGCCUAAUACAUGCAAGUAGGACGCAGUUGCGAACGGGUGAGUAACGCGUAGGUACCUACCUAUUAUAGGGGGAUAACUAUUUGAAACGAUAGCUAAUACCGCAUAUUAAUAGAUGGACCUGCGUUUAAUUAGGUAGUAGGUAGGGUAAUGGCCUACCUAGGCAACGAGACAUAGCCGAACUGAGAGGGUGGUAGGGCAACCUGGGACGGAGACACGGCCCAGACUCCCACGGGAGGCAGCAGGAGGGAAACGUCGGGAAUGGGGGGAACCCUGACCGAGCAAAGCCGCGUGAGUGAAGAAGGUUUUCGGAUCUUAAAGCUCUGUUGUGAAGGAAGCGGUACUUAACCAGAAAGGGACGGCUAACUACGUGCCAGCCGCCGCGGUAAUAC
rnacentral:rRNA from 1 species